rnacentral:rRNA from 1 species
GCAUCCUUCGGGGUGAGUGGCAGACGGGUGAGUAACGCGUGGGAACGUGCCCUUCAGUUCGGAAUAACCCAGGGAAACUUGGGCUAAUACCGGAUACGUGCGAGAGCAGAAAGAUUUAUCGCUGAAGGAUCGGCCCGCGUCUGAUUAGCUAGUUGGUAGGGUAAUGGCCUACCAAGGCGACGAUCAGUAGCUGGUCUGAGAGGAUGAUCAGCCACAUUGGGACUGAGACACGGCCCAAACUCCUACGGGAGGCAGCAGUGGGGAAUAUUGGACAAUGGGCGCAAGCCUGAUCCAGCCAUGCCGCGUGAGUGAUGAAGGCCUUAGGGUUGUAAAGCUCUUUCGGCGGGGACGAUAAUGACGGUACCCGCAGAAGAAGCCCCGGCUAACUUCGUGCCAGCAGCCGCGGUAAUACGAAGGGGGCUAGCGUUGUUCGGAAUCACUGGGCGUAAAGGGCGCGUAGGCGGCUUUAUAAGUCGGGGGUGAAAGCCUGUGGCUCAACCACAGAAUUGCCUUCGAUACUGUAUGGCUUGAGACCGGAAGAGGUAAGUGGAACUGCGAGUGUAGAGGUGAAAUUCGUAGAUAUUCGCAAGAACACCAGUGGCGAAGGCGGCUUACUGGUCCGGUUCUGACGCUGAGGCGCGAAAGCGUGGGGAGCAAACAGGAUUAGAUACCCUGGUAGUCCACGCCGUAACGAUGAAUGCCAGCCGUUGGGCAGCUUGCUGCUCAGUGGCGCAGCU